UACGUAGGGUGCGAGCGUUGUCCGGAAUUACUGGGCGUAAAGGGCGCGUAGGCGGAUACUUAAGUCGGGGGUGAAAGCCCGGGGCUCAACCUCGGAAUUGCCUUCGAUACUGGGUAUCUUGAGUUCGGGAGAGGUGAGUGGAAUGCCGAGUGUAGAGGUGAAAUUCGUAGAUAUUCGGCGGAACACCGGUGGCGAAGGCGGUCUGCUGGGCCAAGACUGACGCUGAGGCGCGACAGCGUGGGGAGCAAACAGG
rnacentral:rRNA from 1 species